GUGUGACUUUCACAGUCCUGGCUUACUCGGAGAAGGACCCACAGCUUUGCCCCAGAUCCCGUAGGGUCCCGAGUACACGGAGGUCAAGUUCUAGCUUCUUACGUUCAGCAUGAAUUGCCGCACCCCUCUAAAAGCGUCCCCUGCUAGCUUUGCAUCUCUGGCGUUCUCUUGAGGAAGGACAGGCCUUGAGACGGGACACUGCCUCGGAACAGACGCGCAUUCGCUUCACCACAGUCGUGCGUCUUAGUACUUGCGAACCAGGCCGGUCUGCUUCCAGAGCCUCUUGGGGCUACCCUGACCACUGCAUGGCUUCGUGGAGCUAAGAUUAGGAACCUCACCAACAGGCAGACGUGGGGUGCCUUGGUGUGAGCACACCCGACCUGAGCCCCAGAAGACAUUCUCAGCAGGAGAUGGUGAACAGCUUAGCAAUGGAGAACGUGAGACAGUGAGUUGUCAACGGAGCUGGCUUCCUGUUCUCUUCAAAGACCUAUAUCCUUUGCCUAGUCAGCUUUGGACUUGGAGGGCCCGCAGCGUGGACUUGGAGACCACCCUUUGACAGGCCAGGCAGGUACUCUCUGCAACCAAGGGCGGCCAUGCUACCACAAGGACUCUAAUCCAGGUCUGGAUCCUCCUCCCUGCCUCAGGCCCACCGCUGCUUGUACAAGCACCCUCAGACCAGAAAAGUGUUUCAGGGCACCCAGGACUAUAAAGGACAAAGAAGGGGCAGUUGGAAGCCCUCGGGGGAGUGACCACUUCUGUGGGACCCACUGGCCUUGGUCACUAUAAUAAAUACCAGAUGGACUUUAUUUCCAUCAGCAUUCGUAACCUGGGCACUGUUCUUCGUGCCUGGUGGGACGGUUGCCGCAUCCCUGACAUUUAUCCCUAGGAUGCCAGGAGCACCCCGGCUCCACCUCCACCCCUCUCAUUACCAACAGACACUGCCAAUAUGUCCCAGAUACAAAACCACACCCAGCUGAGUACCACUGAUUUUAAAAUUACUUUAGUCUCAGCACUUGUAAAGAUGAGACAGGAGGACAGUAAGUUCAAGACUAGCCUGGGCUAUGUAGUGAAUGUAAGUCCAGCCUGGGCUAUAAGUGAUCCUGUCAAAAACAAAACGACAUGUAUGAUCAGUCCUCUGGACCUUCCCAGAGGUCCAGGAAAUGGGGCGGCA